UAUUUGUGACGGAAGUUUUCGUCACAAAUCCGUCACAAAAAUAGGUGACGGAAAAUCUGUCACAAGACCGUCACAAAUUGUGACGGAUUUGUAACGGUUUUGCCGUCACAAAUGUUUGUGACGGAAAAUUCCGUCAAUUUUUUUUUAAUUUUGCAUAGACUCACAAUUCCGUCACAAAUUUGUGACGGAAAUAUAUCUGUGAGAAGUUUGUGACGAAAUUGUGACGGUUUUUAACUGAAAGCCUAAACGCAUCGUUUUGCUUUUGUACAACCUAACCCUCGUUUUUUGCUUCUAAAAAAUGAAGCCCUAACAAUAUCACAGAUGUCGUUCUCCUUCUCCCUCACAUCAGCCGUUAGCAAUUUCUUCUCCAGGAAGAUAUUGAGUUGAUGUUAUCUAUUAAUUUAGAUUUAUCAUCAAUCUUGAUAUGUAAUAAGAGGAAGAUUUGGAGAAGUGAAUCCAAGAGGAAUGACCUUCUAUGAUAAUCUUAUGGACAAUCUGUUAAUCAGGGGUAGCUUGCAAUCCCCCCUUUUGAUCAUUUAAGCUUCAUAUAGGUGUUGAAUGCUGGCAAAAAUAGCCUUACAUCUAUGGAUGAAGUUGCAUCUCUUAUUGCCUUACGUGCUUUGAUUUUAAAUGGGACUAUAAUAUUUUUGAGUUUGCUUCGGUUGAAUUUGGUCAUCCACCUUUCAUAUAGUAGCAGGUGAAAACUGAGAAGGAAUGAACUACUUGUGACAUGGAAAAUAUGAAAUUCUUGCAAUGAUUAGUUUCUCUGUAUUAUGGAAUUGUUGUAUUAUGUAAUUUUUGUCAUUUAGGUUUCUUUGUACUUGUAAGCAGUGGUAUGGAUAAUUAAUGUACCUUUUGAAUUAA